UUUGUAAAAGGCAAACCAACCGUGAGGUUGGGACGCAAAGCCAUGGGUCUUCAUAGUGAAGAUCGCCAGGCCGCCAUUU
rnacentral:ncRNA from 1 species